UCAGCCCUCAAGCCCUGCUUGCUGUUGGACCCCUCGACGAAAAGUUGACGGGCCCCAAAGAUAACGACGGUGUUGUGGCAACCCCCAGAUGCAAGGAGCUUUAACACGCACGCGUCACGGCGGUACCAUGACUCCAGUCUUUAACAAUUCUUCUAA
rnacentral:misc_RNA from 1 species